rnacentral:lncRNA from 1 species
AUUGGAUAAAUGAAAAAGAAACAACUUAAAAACUUAUUCAGAGCCCAGCGAGAAACUAAUUCCUAAUUCCACAUUCUACUGCUCGAUCCACAAUCACACUCGCAUAUAAGAAUUUUGAAGAAAACAGCACUUCAUCCUGAGCAGAACCACCAUCUGUAACCAGAGAGAACACAAAAAUAAUUCUUAAAGGGCAGCAACAACCCCACAACCACCGACCAGAGCGCCUUCCUCUAUUCAGCUCUUGAUUGACCAGCUCGAGAAGAUAGGAUGAUGCCAACAAUAAG